AUUGAACGCUGGCGGCAUGCCUUACACAUGCAAGUCGAACGGCAGCACGGGUGCUUGCACCUGGUGGCGAGUGGCGAACGGGUGAGUAAUACAUCGGAACAUGUCCUGUAGUGGGGGAUAGCCCGGCGAAAGCCGGAUUAAUACCGCAUACGAUCUACGGAUGAAAGCGGGGGACCUUCGGGCCUCGCGCUCUAUGGUUAGCCGCUGGCUGAGUAGCUAGUUGGGAGGGUAAAGGCCUACCAAGGCGACGACCAGUAGCUGGUCUGAGAGUACGACCAGCCACACUGGGACUGAGACACGGCCCAGACUCCUACGGGAGGCAGCAGUGGGGAAUUUUGGACAAUGGGCGAAAGCCUGAUCCAGCAAUGCCGCGUGUGUGAAGAAGGCCUUCGGGUUGUAAAGCACUUUUGUCCGGAAAGAAAUCCUUGGCCCUAAUACGGUCGGGGGAUGACGGUACCGGAAGAAUAAGCACCGGCUAACUACGUG
rnacentral:rRNA from 1 species